GACGAACGCUGGCGGCGUGCUUAACACAUGCAAGUCGAACGGAAAGGCCCUGCUUUUGUGGGGUGCUCGAGUGGCGAACGGGUGAGUAACACGUGAGUAACCUGCCCUCGACUUUGGGAUAACUUCAGGAAACUGGGGCUAAUACCGGAUAGGAGCUCCUGCUGCAUGGUGGGGGUUGGAAAGUUUCGGCGGUUGGGGAUGGACUCGCGGCUUACCAGCUUGUUGGUGGGGUAGUGGCUUACCAAGGCUUUGACGGGUAGCCGGCCUGAGAGGGUGACCGGGCACAGUGCGACUGAGAUACGGCCCAGACUCCUACGGGAGGCAGCAGUGGGGAAUAUUGCACAAUGGGCGGAAGCCUGAUGCGGCAACGCCGCGUGCGGGAUGACGGCCUUCGGGUUGUAAACCGCUUUCGCCUGUGACGAAGCGUGAGUGACGGUAAUGGAUAAAGAAGCACCGGCUAACUACGUG
rnacentral:rRNA from 1 species